UAACAUUAUACAUACCACAUAACAUUUUUGGUUUUAUAUAACCUUUUCUAAAUUAGGAUGAUUUGAUAUGUUUAAUAUUAGUGGUCUUAAAAU
rnacentral:sRNA from 1 species